AUCUCUGAUUCUCUUUAGUUUCUCCGAUUGCUCCCAUCCCUCUUCAUGUGAGUGACACAGAGAGACAGAUCGGGGAGCUACUAUUCACCUUUGACCGGCGGCGACCUCCACCGAUGACCACAAAUCUUGACGCUGGCCGGAAACUUCCUAUGGAGCUUCGAUCUCUGGCCAUGGCCCUGCUCCUUGCGUUCCUCCUCCUCUCCCAAGUCGCCUCCGUGGCCGUGUCCUUCACUUCUCCGUCCCCCUCUCCGUCGCCGGCUCCUGCCUCGCACCGUACGCUGCCUAAGCAGUUGGACCGGGACCUCGACGGCGUGCCGCGCCGGCCCCCGGGGAUUCCCUCCCUGCGCGCGCCGCCUGAUCUGAUGAAGCACGGACACCACCAAGGCAGAAACCCGGUGCCGGCGAGCACUGGGAAGCCGAAGCUUAAUUAUGGGGAAAAGAUCGGGCUGGCGUUUGCUGGCGUCGCCGCCGGGUUGCAGGUGGCGCUGGGGGGUGUCCUCGUUCUCAAAAGAUGGCAGUUGAAGAAAGUGGAGCGCGAUGAUCGAGGAACGGCGGUCUCUUCCUCCAACCCUCCUCCUUGAUUCGCCUACCUCUUCAAAAUGAUGAUCUUUUCCCUCCCCAAAUGAAAAAGGUUAAAUCGAAGCUUUUCCCGUUUAAUGUGCAAUGGACGAAAUCUGGAUUGUUAAGUGGGUACAAGGCAGAAUGCGGAUGUUGCUUACUCGAAGAUGACUGAGCAUUCCAUGAUCCGUGGAUGGAUCCGAUCAAACCUCAUCCUGUACAAAUAGGCAAGCAAACAGGGCCUUUGACUCCAACAUGCAAGGAAGAAGAACCGCCUUUCCGGGAAAGGGAAAGGGGUUGACGAGGCUGACCAAGCAUAGGUUCUGGGCAGUCGAAUAUAAUUGCUGGGCAACUCAAGGCAAAAAUUGGGGCUUCGAUGGGCUUGUGACCAAGGAUCAGCAGCCAAUAUGCACCAAUUGCAGGUUGAUAUCUUUGUGAAUGCUUAUUGUAGUUUGUAUAGAAUUUGAUCAAGACUUUUGAGUACAAAUUUUGUGAUAUGUUGGGUCCAGUAAGGCCUUCAUUGGCAAGUCAUUUUCCUGUUAGUUCAAACUCAGUUUAGGCUCCAUCCUAUGAAAAAGUCAGGGCAGUUAUAUUUUUCAGUUAUGAUUGUUUGUUGAACAAUAAGGCAUUUGUCAGAAUUUUAAUUUGAAAAUGAAGUUGGCUAGUAGUGAUAGGAAGCUACAUGACGAAUUGAUAUUUUGCUUGUUUAGAAGUUUGAAUUCUAGUGUGAUUUGGAAGUUGGUACAAGGUUCUAUUUGUUAGGUAUGUCUUCGAAAUAAGAUAUAUGUUAUCUUUCAAAAUUAUUUGUGUUUCUAAUCUUUGUUUUCCUGCUGCUUCUGUCUCUCUUUCUCUCUUUUAUUUUCUUCUUCCUUUGCUGUAAUAGCAAAGCUGCUGGUUUACCUCUCUCGGUAGUGAUUUUGUUUUUAUCCGCUAGAGCUGUUGCUAUCUUUUAAUUUGUAGCUUGAGAACAGCCAGAUCUGAUCCGGAUAAUUUUAUAUCUGUCACCUCUAGCAUAUUUGUUUACACUGUACUCAUAUGGACAUAUGUAAAAUGUGCUCCAUCAAUGCAGCAUCACUCUCUUUCCCUGUAUUUCUUUCCUGUUAAAACUUUCGUAGGUGCAAAAGUAUCAGGAGUCUUCAAAACAUUUUUGUAUGAAUUGACAGUUGAUAUCAAGGUGGUUAGUGCUUUAUAACAUGAUUACAUUUGGAAUAAAUACUUCUUAAGGCAACUAAGUACUGUGCUUCUUGGAGCAUGAUGUUGGACAACAAAUAUUUGAGCACUUGGUUCAGCAAAUAGAAGGGUGUCUCCAUGGGGAUUUCUUGGUCUUUUGAAGUGACUAAAGUAUCAUGAUAUCACUAUAGAUAUGGCAACUUCUAAAGGUUUCCUAAUUUUACAUGCUUAAGGUAGACUGAAUAUAGAGAUUAUCCUUUGAGUUAAAGAGGAUGAUAAAUAAAAAUUAAAAGGGCACUUCAGGAAGUCUAUUUAGAAGCUGAGUGCUGGAUGCUACUAAGGAAUUUUGGUGAACCAUGCUCAAUACUGUGCAGUAAUGAAGAUCUGUGUUUAUGAUUCACUUGGCAGAUUCAUGAUUGUUUAGAUAUUUUCAUUUGUUCCAUCUUUUUUGCUUUACUGUCUUAUUGCUAAUUAUUGUGUAUAAGAUGCAUUUUAAGCCAUUAGGUGUGGUUUAAGAGGUCAUGGAGCUAACUGUUGGAGAUACUAUUGCUUUACUCCAUUAGCUUGAAUUUCCAGUGAUGAAAAGGAAAUUGAACAACCAAGUUCAUAUGCGGUGAGUCACACAGAUACACAUCUCCAUGAAGGGUUCCAAUGGCUUGGAUCUGCCACCAGUAAUCAGGACACGCAUAUGAACUGUGGUCCAAAUUGCAGUCCAAGUGCAGUAAGAAUCAUGUCAGAGCUAUAGCAGCAGUCUUUACAAAUCUGUGUUCUUGUUGGGACCGCUGUAAUGGUAAAAGGGACCAAGCCUGAGCUGGACAUUGGAAGCAUCCAAAUGUUGCUGAGUGUCCACUGGGUGCAGUUUUAGCUGCUAGUGAAGAACAUUAGGUGUAUCCAUCUCUGGGUUACAUUUUCCCCUGCAAAAUAGAUCCCAUCCCAUGUUGGUAGCCUAUUCAGAAAUGGAUGGACAGCAGGGUUUAUUGACUCCAAAAUGAGUACCUGCGAAUUAGUUCCAACCGGAGUUCAUAGUGAUCACAGUUUAUGCAAGCUUGAAAGUGACAGAUGAAGUUCUAUAGCGUUCUCAGUCGGCUGCCUCUUUGGUUCUUCAUAUAGUUGAAGAAGCUGUUCUAAGGAUACAUUGUAGACAAACCAAAGACGCCGUAGUAAUUAAUAUUUAUGGAUCAAACACGAAACAGUGAUCGAACACAAGAAAGAUGGUGCUUUGAUGAGCUCUUGAGAUACCCAACUUGCAGGACGAGGGGCUAUCAGGUCCAUUCUGCAACACAGUGAAUUUAAAAAGAGUGAUGAUGAUGAUGAUGAUGGUAAGAGAGGCAAAUGACUCGAAGAACAAUGAUACGACGGAUAGAAGAACAGUUUAAGCAGUGGCAAGUGCGUGCACCUCUGUU